GGCCUGGAGUUCAUGUUCUUAACCAGGAUGUUGUGCUGCAUUUGUGUUGCACGUCAUGGGUGGAAGUUAUGGAAUUUGAUACCCCCAAGUAGGAAAUGACUAUACUAACAAGGAGUUUGGAAAAAAAGUUACCAGUGACUAUGAAAGGAGGCAGAAAGCUCAGGGUAAGUCAUUCAAGCCGCUCCCCAAAACCCCCCGGGGGGCCUGACAAACUUGGCCAUCCCUGUGGUUCUCUCAGCGGGAGCCCUUGUUUUGUUUCUUGCGUUUAUUUUCAUGGACUUGGAGACAAGGCCAUCUCUGCUGACCUCUCUCUCUUUUUUUUUUUUUUUUUUUUUGAGACGGAGUCU
rnacentral:lncRNA from 1 species